UUUUGCUCUCUGCGGUUUCAUGGAUUGAGGCUUGGAGGUGCCAGAAAUUGCUGGGAGUGAAACUGAAAUGAUCUCUCCACAAUGAAGAAUUUGAAGGACUGGCCCUCUGUUUGACUGGAGCAACACAAAAUCUGCAGGAGGAACUCAGCAGGUCAAGAAGCACUGGAGGGAGGAAACCCUGCAUCAGUAUUGAGUGGAGAGCUUGUUUUCAGAAGGAUUCCAUCCCCUCAGUGAACAGUGGCAGCAGAGAUUUCAACUGUGGCCUUUCUCCGUGGAGUAUUUGUGACAGCAACACCAAACAUCAAGCUGUGACUAGAGUGAGGAUGUGCAAACCUCAGAUGUUGCUACAUGCUGAUAUUCUCACUGUUGAAAAGGAUGUGACUGGACAUGUUGCUGUGGAAUGUCUCUUUCAGCUGGACUGUAUUAUAGCUUCUGUCUCAUGGAAAAAAAUUGUGGAGAAGAACACCUACGAUCAUUAAUUAAUCAGACAGAAUGUCUAAACAGCGUGUCCUCCAGGCUCUGCUGCAAGACAAGAUAGUGGAUCCUGCUGGGUUAUCCCAAGCACAUUGUCAAAUUAUCUGUCAUGAGAUCUUAUUGUAGGGCAAUGUAAUUGGUAAAAAUGUAUAGAAUUCACAAAUACCAACAUUGAGUUGGGAUUCACUUUAAGAGGCGGAUCUGAUGUGAUGAGGUAAUUACAUAAAGGACAUUUAGCGCAUUUUGUGUUCAAUAAAUC